CUGAAGAAUAAGUUCAAGGAAGAAAGAACCCUAUUUACUAAUGUUAAAACUGUUGAUAUACAAAAAAAAAUAUUUAGGAAUAUGGAAAAAGGAUACAAGCGAACAGAUAGUUGUCUUGAAAAUGGCCAAGCAUGCAGUAGGAUAUAGAAACUUGCCACAUUCUCUGCCUAUUGGUGAAGAUAAUACAACUGUUGCCAAACAUCAUCAGGGUAUGAUAAUUGAAUACAGAAAACUUUGUCCCUAUAUGAAUAUGUUGAUUGAUCGUCAGCAAUGUACUUGGUUUAUGAGAGCAAAAGAUUUUGAUGGUUGCCUUCUGCUUAUCUAAAAAUUAAAUAUCCAUGGUCUAGCUGAUCUAAACAUUAAAUAUCCAUAGUCUACUCUGCUUAGAUUUUAACUAUUUUAAUUAGCUUAAGCCAUAAAGUAAAGAUGAUUUUAUUUCAGAAAUUUUUGCUAAAAUUGAGUGUAAAAUUGAUGAUAACGCUAAAAGAGAUACUACUUUGAAUGGAUCCAUCCUUUGAUUGAAUGGAGCCAUCCUUUAAUUGAAUGGAGCCAUCCUUUUAUUGCCACACUGUAAAAAAGAGUCUGUUCAAUCUUUAGUUACAUUAAACAACACUAAGAGGUGGAAUAUGCCAACAGUUGUGAUGCCUUAAGUUCAAAGACUGACAUCGAACUUUUGAAUUAUUAUAUUAGACGGACAAAUAAUAGUUGAACAUCAUAGUGAUCUAAAUUCAUAGCUUAUAUACAACAAAUUAUUUUUAUAUUAUUUAUUGUGUAACAAAAGUGUUUAAAAUAGAGCUAACAGUUUUUUUCACUUUGAUCAAAUAUUUUAUCCAAUAGUUUUGUAACUUUUAUUGUUUAUAACAUAAGUUUAUUGUUAGUGUAGUGGUUGUUUUAUUUUUCAUUUUGCACAACAAGUCAAAAAGUUAAAUCAUUUUUAG